rnacentral:rRNA from 1 species
CGCGUAGGCGGGAUGGCAAGUCGGUCGUGAAACCCCUCGGCUCAACUGAGGAACGUCGAUCGAUACUGCCAUUCUUGAGGAUUGCAGAGGAGACUGGAAUUCCCGGUGUAGCGGUGAAAUGUGUAGAGAUCGGGAGGAACACCGGUGGCGAAGGCGGGUCUCUGGGCAAUUCCUGACGCUGAGGCGCGAAAGCGUGGGGAGCAAACGGGAUUAGAUACCCCGGUAGUCCACGCUGUAAACGAUGACGACUAGGUGUGGGGGGGUUCAGUCCCCUCCGUGCCGCAGCUAACGCAUUAAGUCGUCCGCCUGGGGAGUACGGCCGCAAGGUUGAA